rnacentral:rRNA from 1 species
GAUGAACGCUGGCGGCGUGCCUAACACAUGCAAGUCGAGCGAACAGAUAAGGAGCUUGCUCCUUUGACGUUAGCGGCGGACGGGUGAGUAACACGUGGGUAACCUACCUAUAAGACUGGGAUAACUUCGGGAAACCGGAGCUAAUACCGGAUAACAUUUGGAACCGCAUGGUUCUAAAGUGAAAGAUGGUUUUGCUAUCACUUAUAGAUGGACCCGCGCCGUAUUAGCUAGUUGGUAAGGUAACGGCUUACCAAGGCGACGAUACGUAGCCGACCUGAGAGGGUGAUCGGCCACACUGGAACUGAGACACGGUCCAGACUCCUACGGGAGGCAGCAGUAGGGAAUCUUCCGCAAUGGGCGAAAGCCUGACGGAGCAACGCCGCGUGAGUGAUGAAGGGUUUCGGCUCGUAAAACUCUGUUAUUAGGGAAGAACAAAUGUGUAAGUAACUGUGCACGUCCUGACGGUACCUAAUCAGAAAGCCACGGCUAACUACGUG